rnacentral:rRNA from 1 species
GAUGAACGCUGGCGGCGUGCUUAACACAUGCAAGUCGAACGGAAAGGCCCUGCCUUUGUGGGGUGCUCGAGUGGCGAACGGGUGUGUAACACGUGAGUAACAUGCCCUUGUCUUUGGGAUAACUUCAGGAAACUGGGGCUAAUACCGGAUAGGAGCUCCUGCUGCAUGGUGGGGGAUGGAAAGUUUCGGCGGUUGGGGAUGGACUCGCGGCGUAUCAGCUUGUUGGUGGUGUAGUGGCUUACCAAGGCUUUGACGGGUACCCGGCCUGAGAGGGUAACCCGCCACAACACGACUGAGAUACGGCGCAGACGCGAACGGGAGGCAACGGUGGAGAGGAUGACACAGCAGGCGGGAGCCUGAUGUGACGGCGCCGCGUGCGGGAAGACGGGCUGCGGGUUGUAAACCGCUUUCGCCUGAGACGGAGCGUGAGUGACGGUACCGGAUAAAGAAGCACCGGCUAACUACGUG